rnacentral:rRNA from 1 species
CCUUGACAUACUAAGAACUUUCCAGAGAUGGAUUGGUGCCUUCGGGAACUUAGAUACAGGUGCUGCAUGGCUGUCGUCAGCUCGUGUCGUGAGAUGUUGGGUUAAGUCCCGCAACGAGCGCAACCCUUUUCCUUAUUUGCCAGCGGGUCAUGCCGGGAACUUUAAGGAUACUGCCAGUGACAAACUGGAGGAAGGCGGGGACGACGUCAAGUCAUCAUGGCCCUUACGGCCAGGGCUACACACGUGCUACAAUGGUCGAUACAAAGGGUUGCUACCUCGCGAGAGGAUGCUAAUCUCAAAAAGCCGAUCGUAGUCCGGAUCGCAGUCUGCAACUCGACUGCGUGAAGUCGGAAUCGCUAGUAAUCGCGGAUCAGAAUGCCGCGGUGAAUACGUUCCCGGGCCUUGUACACACCGCCCGUCACACCAUGGGAGUUUGUUGCACCAGAAGUAGGUAGUCUAACCGCAAGGAGGACGCUUACCACGGUGUGGCCGAUGACUGGGGUGAAGUCGUAACAAGGUAAGCGUAGAUGA